UCGGACUCAAUCCGCUUUCCUUUUAAAAUUCCGCGCCACCGUAUCGGUCCGUCUGAACACCGUUUGUCGCAACUCCGUCAGCUGACGACGGUGUUGCCGUCCCCACUGGAUCCUGCCUACAAGGUGUCUUGAAGUGGAACUUUGUUGGCAUGGGUGACUCAUCAAGGGAGGAUGUCAAAAGUACACUACGGAUACUUGUUGCCACGGAUUGUCAUCUGGGCUAUAUGGAAAAGGAUGAAAUACGUCGGCAUGAUUCAUUCCAGGCAUUUGAAGAGAUAUGCUCAAUAGCAGAGCAAAAGCAGGUUGAUUUCUUGCUCCUUGGUGGCGACCUUUUCCACGAAAACAAGCCCUCAAGGUCAACAUUGGUGAAAGCCAUUGAAAUUCUGCGUCGCCAUUGUCUCAAUGAUCAACCGGUGCAGUUCCAAGUUGUCAGCGACCAGACUGUCAACUUUGCAAACUCGUUUGGUCAUGUAAAUUACGAGGAUCCUCACUUCAAUGUUGGCAUGCCAGUGUUCAGCAUUCAUGGGAAUCAUGAUGAUCCAGCUGGAGUGGACAACCUCUCGGCAGUUGAUAUCCUUUCUGCUUGUAAUCUGGUGAACUAUUUUGGGAAAAUGGUUCUUGGAGGUUCUGGUGUAGGGCAGAUCGCUCUAUACCCAAUUCUCAUUAGGAAGGGUUCAACGUCUGUGGCUCUAUAUGGCCUUGGAAACAUUAGAGAUGAACGGCUUAAUAGGAUGUUUCAGACGCCGCAUGCUGUACAGUGGAUGCGACCUGAACCUCAAGAAGGAUGCCAAGUAUCAGACUGGUUCAACAUUCUAGUACUUCAUCAGAACAGGGUGAAAACAAAUCCUAAAAAUGCUAUCAACGAGCACUUUUUGCCACGUUUUCUGGACUUCAUCGUGUGGGGGCAUGAACACGAAUGUCUUGUUGACCCUCAGGAAGUUCCAGGUAUGGGUUUCCACAUUACUCAGCCAGGCUCUUCUGUUGCAACAUCACUAAUUGAUGGAGAAUCAAAACCGAAACAUGUACUUCUUUUGGAGAUUAAGGGAAAUCAAUAUCGCCCAACCAAGAUACCUUUAAACACAGUUAGGCCUUUUGAAUAUGCCGAGGUAGUAUUGAAGGACGAAACUGACAUUGAUCCUAAUGAUCAAAAUUCAAUGCUCGAACAUUUGGACAAAGUGGUCAGAAAUAUGAUAGACAAGGCUAGCCAAAAUCAUAGUAACAAAUCAGAUUUCAAGCUUCCAUUGGUCCGAGUAAAGGUUGAUUACUCUGGAUUUAUGACAAUAAAUCCUCAAAGGUUUGGGCAAAAAUAUGUGGGGAAGGUUGCAAAUCCCCAGGAUAUUCUCAUAUUCUCAAAGGCUUCAAAAAAAGGUCGCAGUGAAGCCAAAAUUGAUGGUUCUGAACGGCUUCGACCUGAAGAACUAAAUCAACAAAAUAUAGAGGCUUUGGUUGCUGAGAACAACCUGAAAAUGGAGAUCCUUCCGGUUAAUGAUUUGGAUGUUGCACUGCACAAUUUUGUUAACAAGGACGAUAAAAUGGCUUUCUAUUCAUGUGUGAAGUACAACCUUGAAGAAACACGCAAUAAAAUUGCUAAAGAUGCAGAUACUGUAAAGUUCGAAGAGGAAGAUCUACUUCUCAAAGUUGGAGAAUGCUUAGAGGAACGUGUGAAGGAAAGGUCAGUACAUUCUAAGGAACCACCGUUCACUUCUACUUCACAGUCCUUAGAGGACACUAGAAGUGCUGGAGGAGUUGGAAGUGCAGUUUCCUUCAGUGAUGAUGAGGAUACCACUCAAUUUACAGGUUCAAUGUCUGCCAGCAGAGGUAGGAAAGGAUCAUCUGUACCUUUCAGGGCCUCUCAUGAUUCUGAAGAAGUUGGUAAGACUUCAAGAGGCAGGGGCAGGGGCAGAGGAAGGGGAAGAGGCAGGGGCUCUACUAACUUAAAGCAAACAACUCUUGAUGCAUCAGUUGGAUUCCGCAAUACACAGAGAUCUGCAUCAGUUGCAGCAGCAGCAUCAGUCCGAAGCAUCGCUGAUGAUGAGGAUAACGUGGAUUCUGGUUCAAGUGAUGAAGCGUGGAAAAAGGGUGUAAAUGAAGUUGAUGAAAGCUCUGACGAUGGUGAAACCCUUCGAGGCAAGGGAACCAAAAGAGCUGCUCCCAGAGGUAGACGUCCUGCAGGACCUGCACCAUCUAAACGAGGAAGAAAAUCAGACAACUCCAACACUUCAUCUUCGAUCCAUAAAAUGCUCAUGAGUAAUGACGACGACGAUGACGAUGAUGAUGACAUGUCAAGGAGAGUAAAUAAGUCUCAACCGCGGGUAACAAGAAAUUAUGGUGCCCUGAGAAGACAAGUGCCCUAGAGAUUACAUGGUCCUUUUCAACCAAUACUGGCCUGCAUCAUGUCAUGUAUGAAUUAUCCCUUCUGCAAAGCAUUCUGUUGUGACCUUACGACAAGAAUAGAAUGAGGUUGAUGCCGUAGAAUGGUUUUAUAUAGAUGAUUAGUAGAGUUGUUACCGUGCAUGCGCUAGUAUCAGCCAUUAGGGUACAUGCAAGAGUCAUUUGCGAGAUGGGGGAUCUUUGAGUCGCAGGAUGGGCUUGGAGCAAUUCAAUUUCUUGUUUGCAGCAUUCACUUCCACCCGAUUGGUAAACGGCAAAAGUAGUCAAAAAGUGUGGAGAUGCUGUUAGAUUUUGGUUAUAAAUAACUGGAUGAAUUUUUGGGGUUUGUCUAAAAGGCAUGGGCAAGCUUUCCUCUGGGCAGCUUUCCUCUAUUUCUUUCGUUGA